GGACUACCCGGGUAUCUAAUCCCGUUUGCUCCCCUGGCUUUCGCGCAUCAGCGUCAGAAGAGGUCCAGCACGCCGCUUUCGCCACCGGCGUUCCUUCGGAUAUCUACGCAUUUCACCGCUCCACCCGAAGUUCCGCAUGCCCCUACCUCCCUCGAGGUUCCCAGUAUCGGAGGCCAUUUUCCGGUUGAGCCGAAAGAUUUCACCACCGACUUGAGAACCCGCCUACGCGCCCUUUAAGCCCAGUGAAUCCGAACAACGUUUGCACGGUUCGUCUUACCGCGGCUGCUGGCAC
rnacentral:rRNA from 2 species